GAGUUUGAUCCUGGCUCAGGAUGAACGCUGGCGGCGUGCCUAACACAUGCAAGUCGAACGAAGCACCUUACCUGAUUCUUCGGAUGAAGGUCUGGUGACUGAGCGGCGGACGGGUGAGUAACGCGUGGGUAACCUGCCUCAUACAGGGGGAUAACAGUUAGAAAUGGCUGCUAAUACCGCAUAAGACCACAGUACUGCAUGGUACAGUGGUAAAAACUCCGGUGGUAUGAGAUGGACCCGCGUCUGAUUAGGUAGUUGGUGAGGUAACGGCCCACCAAGCCGACGAUCAGUAGCCGGCUUGAGAGAGUGAACGGCCACAUUGGGACUGAGACACGGCCCAAACUCCUACGGGAGGCAGCAGUGGGGAAUAUUGCACAAUGGGGGAAACCCUGAUGCAGCGACGCCGCGUGAGUGAAGAAGUAUCUCGGUAUGUAAAGCUCUAUCAGCAGGGAAGAAAAUGACGGUACCUGACUAAGAAGCCCCGGCUAACUACGUGCCAGCCGCCGCGGUAAUAC
rnacentral:rRNA from 1 species